AUAUACAGGAAGUUACACAGCGAAACCUACCUCCUUCACACAGCCUGGGUACAUCAGACUGCAUGGUCCCUCUGGAGUGCUGGGGAGCGAUGUCUUCGGGAACUCGUGGCUGACGCCGGUCUAUGUAGCGGGAGCUCCCGGGGCGAUGUCUGGCGCCCGGUCUACAGACAAGAGCUACCGAGUCUACGUGGCGUGUACAGACUACCAGAUCUUCCAUACCGAGAACCAGUACGUGUUGGCUCCUAAAGAUGGGCUCUCUGCAUCAGUGCCCGAAUCCAUCGCAAUUGAGUUGAAAGCCAAGAGCUUGUACA
rnacentral:lncRNA from 1 species